GCGACACCUCCUCUCCUACUCAUUCUAACUUUCUUGACACUUUAAAAAAGUUUAUUAAUAUAAAAUUAAAAUAUAAAAAUUAUUAUUAGAUUUUAUUAUAUAUUUUUAUAAAUUAAUUAAUAUAUGUUCAUAUAUUUUUAUUACCGUUUCGUUAAAAGAUUUGUCAUUACGUAAAAUACGGUUACGUUCCCUUCCAAAGUUAAAAAUUUGAGUGUUUUAAAUAUUCUUACAAUUUAUCAUUUUUAUUAAACAGUUAUAGUUUUGAAUUUCGUCUUUUUUGUUGAAUUGCAUAAUAAACGUGCACCGUAUCGAAUCAAACGGGCUCGUACCGAAUUUCAUAUUGUUGCACCGGUACACUAUAGACGACGUAAUGUACGGUAUCUCGGAUUUGCUUGUUACGAAUGGACCUCACGCGUAAUGUGAUCGGUCGGCAUAGAUAAAAGACAGAAAAAAAUAUUCAGUCCGAAUUAUUCGUGGAAAAGGUACAUAACUACAUUACACUUCACUCCAUUUUGUGCUGCGUGUAUAAGGAGACGUUUACGGAUAUUAACGUAAAGUUUUGAACUUACAUCUCGCAAUAAUUAGAAUGGCCGGAAGAGGUGUUAUUUGCGCUAUGUAUGGCUGUUUUAAUUACAAGAUAUAAAGUGACCGAUCUGGCCUGGAAAAGUACCCUCACUAUUAAUUUAUAACGCCAAACAGACCACGAUGAGAAGCAGCUUCCCAAAAAAAA